UACAGAGGUCCCAAGCGUUGUUCGGAUUCAUUGGGCGUAAAGGGUGCGUAGGCGGCGCGGUAAGUCGGGUGUGAAAUCUCGGAGCUUAACUCCGAAACUGCAUUCGAUACUGCCGUGCUUGAGGACUGGAGAGGAGACUGGAAUUUACGGUGUAGCGGUGAAAUGCGCAGAUAUCAGGAGGAACACCAAUGGCGAAGGCAGCUCGCUGGGACGUGACUGACGCUGAGACGCGAAAGCGUGGGGAGCAAACAGG
rnacentral:rRNA from 1 species